AUCACUUCUCGACAUUUUGGCUAAGAUCAAGUGUAGUAUUUGUUCUUAUCAGCUUAAUAUCUGAUAUGUCCUCUAUCUGAGGACAAUGUAUUAAAUGGAUUUUUUUGAAUUAGGAGUUUGAAAAGGAGCUUGCUCCAUCCACUUUAGGCAUUUUCCCGGUAUUGCAGUACUUCCAGGAAUCCCCUC
ensembl:snRNA U2 U2 spliceosomal RNA